UCUUCUUUCGGGAUUUAAGCACGAUAGGCUGAAUACUCUUCGCCAGCAUUGGUUUUGGUCUAUCUGUUUAAUUGAUUUUCUUUGCGUCUGACACGGAAUAUACUUCUAGUUAAAUAGAUACAAUGGAAAAUUGUCACAUUGCAACAGUUUAUUGUGUCUUAAUGUUUCGUUGUCUUUGCGAUUGGUAACUAUAGAAAUCCUACUUUUGGUGUACUAAUUCAUCACUUUGUUUAUGACAGUAAAAUCUAAAUGGCUACAUCUGAAGUUGCCAAGUUUACUACGGACAAUGAUUCACUCAGUACGAUAAAUAACAGUCGAACUGCGGUAGCUCAUGAAGUUUUAAGAUUUACAAAAGACAGAAGAACACUAAGAAAAAAGUUGUUACUACUGAUACUUCUAAUGGUUACGGUAUCAUUAGUAGCGGUGGUAGCUGCUUUCAUUGUUGAGAAAACUAAAGCUGACUCGACCAUGCCUGAAACCUCUUUGAUAUCAAAAGAAUUGUGUUUGACAAAGGAAUGUGUUUUAGCAGGUAAUUUUCCAAUUUUCAUUUUGAAUUUGCAAAUAUGUAAGUGAAUUUAUUUAUU
rnacentral:sRNA from 1 species